ACACUUGUUGUUCCCGCCCACUCACACAGGAGGUCCACACGCUAACUAGCGAUGAUGGUUUGCCCUCUGACAUGACCUCUGAGGAUGGCUCCACCCUCAACGCUAUAGGCCACGCCCUCAUCCAGAUGCAGCAAGGUGGACAGACCACCCCCUCAUCUCAGUUCCUCAUCACUAGGAGCACAUCAUCUGGUUCAGAGUCUGGCCAAAAAUUAAUGGUGAAUAAAGAAGACCAAAUUUAUCAGUGUGCUUUUUGGCCAAAUCCAAAAGUUAUAGUCCUCGAUAAGUUAUCCAAGUGCUUGUACGUACUAAUUACAUGUAGAACCAUGAGUAUUAUUGCUAAUGUUUGAUAUAAAAUAAUUAUAAAAUAAGGUUUCUUGGAAGUGGUGUUGAAAAAUAGUCAGUUUUUACUAUGUUGUUGUGUGUGUUCAGGUCCUCUGUAUGUGAUGAUCCCACCAUCCAGUAGUGCUGAGAUACUGCAUGCAAUGGGUCGACCUAUAGCACCCAAGAUGAGCGGGAUAUCAACUAUGGACUAUCACACGGCCGACCCCAUCAUUCAAAUGCAGUUGUCUGGGGAUAUGGCGGCCAACAGGGAAGCUCAGAGGAAGGCUACACACAAUGAAGGUGCUGCAAAUUCAAUACUGAAAGUUAGAGUGUACAACAGAUGUACAUGUACGUACGUGGUCAUAAUCAAAUAGAAGCAUUUCCCACAAAGUACAGUUACGAAGCUUUAACAUCAAAUCUGCCACUUCUAAAACUAGUGUUCAAGCUGGUGCUGUGCUAAUGCCUCUCGCCAUGUUUUUGCUUUCGCUCAAAAGUAUUAGAGUGUUAUCUAUAAUGAAUUUUAUAUUAAAGUUAGCUUAUCUAUAUAAAGUCACUGAGAAGAAAAGACUUAUUUACAUGCAUCUAUUGUUGUUAUUUAUUGUAUUAUGUGGCUUACCAGGACCUCAAGAAAGAAGAAAAUUGAUUCAGUGUAUAUAAUAUCUAAGAAGAAAAGACCUGUGUACAUGCAUAUUGUUAUCUAUAUUGUUAUAUGGUAGUGUUUUGUGGCUUACCAGGCCCUCAAGACAAAGAUGAUUCUGCCAGGAGAAUCUGGAUCUGGUCUUGGAUAUCACAUGGGGAGUGAGCGCGCAUGCGCAUUACAUCCACAGGAAUAAUUAAAGGGUGUGUCCAAAGAGAUAAAUGGCUACUGCUAGCUAGCUGUUUUAACAGCUAUUUUCUGAGUAUUGUAGCUAACAAAAAGCUAGCGCUUUAGUGCAAGGCUAACUCAUAUGUUGAAUAGAAAGUUUGUGAGGACAGAUGAUGCUAUGAAAGAUUCUGAAGAGACUGCAACAGCCUCAACAGCCUUCAAUUUGAGCGUUGUUGGCGUCGGGACAGGAUCAACGAGCUCAUCAAGAUACUGGCUCAGAUAGUGCCUGCUUGUCAGAAGAAAGACGCAACUAUACUGGUUCCAUUGUCGGGUAUGUGUACAGUAUGUGUGCAGCAAGGGAACGGUACUGGACAAGACAGUGGACUACUUGAAAGAGCUCGUAUUUCAAUCCUCUCAACAAUAGUGUAUAGUAUAUAAUAAUAUAAUAAUAAUAGUAUAUCCUCCAUUGCGAGCACGACCACUUCUCCGUCCACUCCUGUACCGAAAUUCUCCAUGCUGUCACAAGCCAACAACAAUGGCGGUGGUGGUGGUGGUGGUGGUGGUGGUCUCUCUGCCGCGGCUGCUGCUAGUCUGCUCAACACUCUGAUUCUGGCUCAGAAUGUGCUCACAAGCAACUCAAGUGCUGGUAGCCCCGGGCAAGAUUCAAUGUCUAUGGAAACGGUGGACCAAUCCUCUCAACAGUAGUGUACAGUAUAUUAUAAUUGUGGACUGUUUAUACUGUUCUAGUUUUAACGUGUGUUUUUUAGUAAUCUCUCCUUCACUUACUAUAGCUACAUUGUCAGUAUUAUUAUGUAUACAUAGUUUUUAUACAUGAUAUUUGUGUUAUUGAACCUGAGCAUAAUAAAUUGUUUGUCUCUAGAAAAAAAAAUGUUGUGAACAUAGCUAUGCCCAUUAUAAUUAUGCAGUCUAGCCUCCAUCUCAAGCCGCACUUCCUCGAAAGUGGGCCUGGUUGCUUGCACAUGUGCUAACCAUUAGCUUCUGAACAUGAAAACUGUGCUGAUGAAGAACCUUCAUCAAGAAUAAGAACACUGACUCAGGACGAGGAGGACUUUGACAAGUUCCUGGAGACUCCGAGAGUGUCAAAGCUCAGCAGCUCUCACUCUCCACAAAAGUUCCCGAGCCCCACCCCUCACUGUCUGACUCGGAAGAGGAGAUACACUUUGGAUUCUGGGAGAAGGCGUCCACCCUACCCUCGGACAAGACCCCAACCAAGGACUUGAACUUGUUAUGAGAUUGUUAAAUAUUAUCUUGUCUGUUUUUGUACUAUUUUCUGGCAAUGUAAUUAUGUAUGUACCACUUCA